rnacentral:rRNA from 1 species
UGGGGAAUUUUGGACAAUGGGCGCAAGCCUGUUCCAGCCAUGCCGCGUGCGGGAAGAAGGCCUUCGGGUUGUAAACCGCUUUUGUCAGGGAAGAAAUCUUCUGAGUUAAUACCUCGGGAGGAUGACGGUACCUGAAGAAUAAGCACCGGCUAACUACGUGCCAGCAGCCGCGGUAAUACGUAGGGUGCAAGCGUUAAUCGGAAUUACUGGGCGUAAAGCGUGCGCAGGCGGUUUUGUAAGACAGAGGUGAAAUCCCCGGGCUCAACCUGGGAACUGCCUUUGUGACUGCAAGGCUUGAGUGCGGCAGAGGGGGGAUGGAAUUCCGCGUGUAGCAGUGAAAUGCGUAGAUAUGCGGAGGAACACCGAUGGCGAAGGCAAUCCCCUGGGCCUGCACUGACGCUCAUGCACGAAAGCGUGGGGAGCAAAACAGGAUUAGAUAGCCCUGGUAGUCCACGCCCUAAAACGAUGUCAAACUGGUUGUUGGGAAGGUUCCUUCUCAGUAACGUAGCUAACGCGUGAAGUUGACCGCCUGGGGAGUACGGCCGCAAGGUUG